UUGAACCACCUCAGGGCACAGCAAGAGGAUGAUGGCUGCAAUAAACAAAGGACCAAGGGGACAUGGUAUUGAGAGCUCUGGGGACAGAAGGAGACCAGAAGUAAACACUGAAGCAGAGCAGGCUUGAUAGCCAAAGAAGGAUGAGGAAUCACAAAAAGAUCACAGACUUCUUCUUGUUGGCAGAAUUCACAGAAAACAUUGGACUUCCCCUGAACCUGCUCGAAAAACACGACCCGUGGCCAGCUUAUGUGACAUAUACCUCCCCAGUGGUGCAAAGACUUAUUGAGAAAAGCAAAAUGAAGGAACUGCAACGCACACGCGCUUUUGAGCAAAGCCAACAGGCACUGAGGCCAGACAAGUCUUCCAGCACUACUCAGCUAAAAUGGAGAAAGUCGUCUAAGUCCUCUGGUGAAGGCUUGAGAGAUGUGCUGUCAGAUGGCAUGCUGUCAAUAUGGGGCCCUAACUCUAUGUCAGCCUUGAGUUCCAUUCUUGUCCCAGAACCCAAGCAUAAUCAAACAGAUUCCAGAGGAAGUCCCACUGCAGACUAUAACAAGAUCAUAUUCUCCCGAAAACCCAUGAUGAGGAUGCUUCCUUACCAGGUCACUGCGGUCCAGCAAGGAGAAGAAUGCAAAUGUCUAACAAGGACUCCCUGCAGCCAUCACUGAAGAAUGUACUACAAGCUGUCUUUGGACACAUGAGGAUUCUGUCAGGACGGAAACCCAGCUGGCCUGACAGAUUCCAUUGGGAACACGGACUGCUUCAUCUCUGAGAUAUAUUCAGUUCUCUUGGCCUAGAAAAGACAGCCACGAUAUUCAACAGGGUGUUUCCUGCUGCCUGUCUUGUCCAGUUUGGAAUAAUAAUAAAGCCCUCCAGAGAAACUUACAAGGCACCAGCUGAAAUUUCUCACUAUAAUGCAGUCUUUUUAGAUGACCUAGAGAAAACUUUGCUUAUUAUAAUACUAAUUUUCUCCCCAGAAGCAUUCUCUUCUGCCACUUUUCAAAACUUGAAAUGUAUGACCUUCAGUGGAGCAUGCUCAGAAAUAUGUCCACCUCUAUGUGUAACAAUGAAUCUUUCCUAAAUAAAUAUCUAUGCUGUUU